AACCUUAAAGCUAGCCUAAUCAAUUAACGCAAACACAACAUUAUUAAUUUUAAACCCUUUUAAAAAAAAUUAAAACAUUUUAUACCUUUUAGUAUGGGUGACAGAACAAAGAUCUCAGCGCAAUAGAUAUGUACCGCAAGGGAAAGCUGAAAAAGAAAUGAAACAAUAAUUAAAGUACAAAAAAGCAGAGACUUAACCUCGUACCUUUUGCAUCAUGAUUUAACUAGACCAAUUAGGCAAAGAGACCUUAAGUUUAUUCCCCCGAAACUAAACGAGCUACUCCGGAGCAGCAUAUAAGAGCGAACCCAUCUCUGUGGCAAAAGAGUGGGAAGACUCCCGAGUAGCGGUGACAAACCUACCGAGUUUAGUGAUAGCUGGUUAUCCAAGAAAAGAACUUUAAUUCUGCAUUAAUUUUUUUAUAAUCAACUUUAUCCUUAAGAUUAAACAUAAAAAUUAAUAGUUAUUUGGAAGAGGUACAGCCCUUCUAAAUUAAGAUACAACUUUCAUAGGUGGAUAAUGAUCAUACUUAUUAAGGACUUUUUCCCCAGUAGGCUUAAAAGCAGCCAUCUGUAAAGCAAGCGUCAUAGCUCCAGCACUACAAAAACCUAUAAUUUAGAUAAUAUCUCCAAAUCCCCUAAAAAAUAUUGGAUUAUUUUAUAAAAUAUAAAAGAACUAAUGUUAAAAUGAGUAAUAAGAGGCCAAACCUCUCCUAACACCAGUGUACAUCAGAAAGAAUUAAAUCACUGAUAAUUAAACGAUUUCAAAUGGAGAUAAUAAUAACCAUUAAUACUUAAACCAGAAAAUCCUAUUCUAAUACUCGUUAACCCUACACAGGAGUGUAAUAAGGAAAGAUUAAAAGAAAGUAAAGGAACUCGGCAAACAUAAACUCCGCCUGUUUACCAAAAACAUCGCCUCUUGCCUAACUAUUAUAAGAGGUCCCGCCUGCCCUGUGACAAUGUUUAACGGCCGCGGUAUUUUGACCGUGCAAAGGUAGCGUAAUCACUUGUCUUUUAAAUGAAGACCUGUAUGAAAGGCACCACGAGAGUUUAACUGUCUCUAUUUUCUAAUCAAUGAAAUUGAUCUUCUCGUGCAGAAGCGAGAAUAUUAUCAUAAGACGAGAAGACCCUAUGGAGCUUUAAACACAUAAGCUAUUUAUACAAAAUAAAAUUCCAUGGGUAUAAACAUUAAUAUACUUCUAGCUAAUUGUUUUUGGUUGGGGCGACCAAGAGGAAAAAUAAAUCCCUCUUAUCGAUUGAGUACUCCGUACUUAAAAAAUAGAAUGACAAUUCUAAUUAAUAAAAAUUUUAUCGAAAAAUGACCCAGGAUUUACCUGAUCAAUGAACCAAGUUACCCUAGGGAUAACAGCGCAAUCCUUUCCCAAAGUCCCUAUCGCCGAAAGGGUUUACGACCUCGAUGUUGGAUCAGGACAUCCUAAUGGUGCAACCGCUAUUAAGGGUUCGUUUGUUCAACGAUUAAUAGUCCUACGUGAUCUGAGUUCAGACCGGAGAAAUCCAGGUCAGUUUCUAUCUAUGAAUUAAUUUUUCCCAGUACGAAAGGACCGGAAAAAUGGAGCCAAUACUUCUAGUACGCUCCCUUUCCAUCUACUGCAUUAAACUAAAGUAGAUAAGGAAAGAUUAUAUAAUUCCCAAGAUUAGGGUU
rnacentral:rRNA from 1 species